CAGUCAUGCUAGUGAAAAUUCAGUUUGGUGGGUUUUAGGUUCAAGAGUUGAGGCAGGGUCAAACCGGUUCUCUUUUGAACUUGGAAUUUGUCAGAUGCACUUUUUCUUUGGCAGGUCAACGUCGAUUUCGGA
rnacentral:rRNA from 1 species